GUCACUCGGUGUUCUCAACGAAAGCACGUAAUCGCCGGUGUAACUCAUGUUGGCUGGGGGGCCUCCCGGCGCGCAGAGAGGCUGGGGUGCGCCCCC
ensembl:misc_RNA